CCUACGGGGAGCAGCAGUCGAGAAUCAUUCACAAUGGGGGAAACCCUGAUGGUGCGACGCCGCGUGGGGGAAUGAAGGUCUUCGGAUUGUAAACCCCUGUCAUGUGGGAGCAAAUUAAAAAGAUAGUACCACAAGAGGAAGAGACGGCUAACUCUGUGCCAGCAGCCGCGGUAAUACAGAGGUCUCAAGCGUUGUUCGGAAUCACUGGGCGUAAAGCGUGCGUAGGCUGUUUCGUAAGUCGUGUGUGAAAGGCGCGGGCUCAACCCGCGGACGGCACAUGAUACUGCGAGACUAGAGUAAGGGAGGGGGAACCGGAAUUCUCGGUGUAGCAGUGAAAUGCGUAGAUAUCGAGAGGAACACUCGUGGUGAAGGCGGGUUCCUGGACAUUAACUGACGCUGAGGCACGAAGGCCAGGGGAGCGAAAGGGAUUAGAUACCCCUGUAGUC
rnacentral:rRNA from 1 species